rnacentral:rRNA from 1 species
CAGCAGCCACGGGAAUACGGAGGGUGCAAGCGUUAAUCGGAAUUACUGGGCGUAAAGCGCACGCAGGCGGUCUGACAAGUCAGAUGUGAAAUCCCCGGGCUUAACCUGGGAACUGCAUUUGAAACUGUCAGGCUGGAGUCUUGUAGAGGGGGGUGGAAUUCCAGGUGUAGCGGUGAAAUGCGUAGAGAUCUGGAGGAAUACCGGUGGCGAAGGCGGCCCCCUGGACAAAGACUGACGCUCAGGUGCGAAAGCGUGGGGAGCAAACAGGAUUAGAUACCCGGGUAGUCCCUGUCUCUUAUAC